UACAGAGGUCCCAAGCGUUGUUCGGAUUCACUGGGCGUAAAGGGUGCGUAGGUGGUGGGGUAAGUCGGAUGUGAAAUCCCUCGGCUCAACCAAGGAAGUGCAUCCGAAACUGCUGAGCUUGAGUACGAAAGAGGAUCGCGGAAUUCCCGGUGUAGAGGUGAAAUUCGUAGAUAUCGGGAGGAACACCAGUGGCGAAGGCGGCGAUCUGGGUCGGUACUGACGCUGAGACGCGAAAGCGUGGGGAGCGAACAGG
rnacentral:rRNA from 1 species